UACGGAGGAUGCAAGCGUUGCCCGGAAUUAUUGGGCGUAAAGCGCCCGCAGGUGGCAAUUCAAGUCUGCUGUUAAAGGUUCUGGCUCAACCAGAGACAGGCAGUGGAAACUGAAUAGCUAGAGUGCGGUAGGGGCAGAGGGAAUUCCCAGUGUAGCGGUGAAAUGCGUAGAGAUUGGGAAGAACACCGGUGGCGAAAGCGGUGUGCUAGGCCGUAACUGACACUCAUGGACGAAAGCGAGGGGAGCAAAUGGG
rnacentral:rRNA from 1 species